ensembl:snoRNA small nucleolar RNA SNORD46
AACUAGAGUGAUGAAAAAGUAUCUUUAGGCGUGGUUGUGACUGUUUUGGUCACUUGUGUGCCACUUGCCGAUGCUAGGACUUGUCAUAGUUACACUGACUGUGU